UACGUAGGGGGCAAGCGUUGUCCGGAAUCAUUGGGCGUAAAGAGCGCGUAGGCGGUCCGGUAAGUCCGCUCUGAAAGUCCGGGGCUCAGCCCCGGGAGGCGGGCGGAUACUGUCGGGCUAGAGUCCGGAAGAGGCGAGUGGAAUUCCUGGUGUAGCGGUGAAAUGCGCAGAUAUCAGGAGGAACACCAAUGGCGAAGGCAGCUCGCUGGGACGGUACUGACGCUGAGGCGCGAAAGCGUGGGGAGCAAACAGG
rnacentral:rRNA from 1 species